AUACGUAGGUGACAAGCGUUAUCCGGAUUUACUGGGCGUAAAGGGCGUGUAGGCGGUCUUGCAAGUCUGAAGUGAAAUUCCUGAGCUCAACUCGGGCGCUGCUUCUGAAACUGCAGGACUUGAGUGCUGGAGGGGAUAGCGGAAUUCCUAGUGGAGCGGUAAAAUGCGAAGAUAUUAGGAAGAACACCGGUGGCGAAGGCGGCUAUCUGGACAGUAACGGACGCUGAGGCGCGAAAGCGUGGGGAGCAAACAGGAUUAGAUACCCUGGUAGUCCACGCCGUAAACGAUGGGCGCUCGUCGUCGGCGACAGACAGUCGGCGGCCAAGCGAAAGCGAUAAGCGCCCCACCUGGGGAGUACGGUCGCAAGGCUGAAACUCAAAUGAAUUGGCGGGG
rnacentral:rRNA from 1 species